rnacentral:sRNA from 1 species
GCCGGGCGUGGUGGCUCACGCCUGUAAUCCCAACACUUUGGGAGGCUGAGGCGGGUGGAUCACCUGAGGUUGGGAGUUCAAGACCAGCCUGACCAACAUGGAGAAACCCCGUCUCUA